rnacentral:rRNA from 1 species
UACGGGGGGGGCAAGCGUUGUUCGGAAUUACUGGGCGUAAAGGGCUCGUAGGCGGCCAACUAAGUCGGACGUGAAAUCCCUCGGCUUAACCGAGGAACUGCGUCCGAUACUGGAUGGCUUGAGUGUGGGAGAGGGAUGCGGAAUUCCAGGUGUAGCGGUGAAAUGCGUAGAUAUCUGGAGGAACACCGGUGGCGAAGGCGGCAUCCUGGACCACGACUGACGCUGAGUGAGCGAAAGCCAGGGGAGCAAACAGG